rnacentral:rRNA from 1 species
UAGGGAAUCUUCGGCAAUGGGGGCAACCCUGACCGAGCAACGCCGCGUGAGUGAAGAAGGUUUUCGGAUCGUUAAGCUCUGUUGUAAGAGAAGAACGUGUGUGAGAGUGGAAAGUUCACACAGUGACGGUAACUUACCAGAAAGGGACGGCUAACUACGUGCCAGCAGCCGCGGUAAUACGUAGGUCCCGAGCGUUGUCCGGAUUUAUUGGGCGUAAAGCGAGCGCAGGCGGUUUAAUAAGUCUGAAGUUAAAGGCAGUGGCUUAACCAUUGUUCGCUUUGGAAACUGUUAAACUUGAGUGCAGAAGGGGAGAGUGGAAUUCCAUGUGUAGCGGUGAAAUGCGUAGAUAUAUGGAGGAAUACCGGUGGCGAAAGCGGCUCUCUGGUCUGUAACUGACGCUGAGGCUCGAAAGCGUGGGGAGCAAACAGG